rnacentral:rRNA from 1 species
GACGAACGCUGGCGGCGUGCUUAACACAUGCAAGUCGAGCGGUAAGGCCCUUUCGGGGUACGACGAGCGGCGAACGGGUGAGUAACACGUGGGUGACCUGCCCUUAGCUCUGGGAUAAGCCUGGGAAACUGGGUCUAAUACCGGAUAUGACUCCAUAACGCAUGUUGUGGGGUGGAAAGCCUUGUGCGGCUAGGGAUGGGCCCGCGGCCUAUCAGCUUGUUGGUGGGGUGAUGGCCCACCAAGGCGACGACGGUAGCCGGCCUGAGAGGGCGACCGCCACACUGGGACUGAGACACGGCCCAGACUCCUACGGGAGGCAGCAGUGGGAAUCUGCGCAAUGGGCGAAAGCCUGACGCAGCGACGCCGCGUGGGGA